UACAGAGGGUGCAAGCGUUGUUCGGAAUUAUUGGGCGUAAAGGGCGCGUAGGCGGUGCCACAAGUCACCUGUGAAAUCUCCUGGCUCAACUGGGAGCUUGCAGGCGAAACUGCCGUGCUGGAGUGUGGGAGAGGUGCGUGGAAUUCCUGGUGUAGCGGUGAAAUGCGUAGAUAUCAGGAGGAACACCUGUGGCGAAAGCGGCGCACUGGACCACAACUGACGCUGAGGCGCGAAAGCAUGGGGAGCGAACAGG
rnacentral:rRNA from 1 species